AAAAGAUAGAUAAUAACAAGAUAGAAAGUGCUAGAGUUCUUACGCUGAUCAUCAGGGAGCUACAUUUGUAUUUUGAAGAUUCAUGGAGACACCAAAAUUAGUAAAGCGAGGUGGUUCUUCUUUGUUUUUAUCAACUAGUGUCAGGAAUUAGCAAAACAAUCACUUCCAGAAGUUCCUGCUAGAUACAUACGAACUGAUCAGGAACCAUUGAGUAAUACCACCGGUACGUCUAUGAUAGAUCAACCAGUGCCUGUUAUAGAUUUGCAGAAAUUACUUUCUCCAGAGCCGAUCAUUGGAGAGUUAGAAUUGGUCAAGCUUCACUCUGCUUGCAAACAAUGGGGUUUCUUUCGGUUCAGUUGGUGAACCAUGGAGUUGACAAUUUAUUGGUGGAGAAAAUGAAAUCUGAAAUUCAAGGUUUGUUCAAUGCAUGAGAAGCAGAAAUUUUGGAAGAAAGAACGGAUACGGAAGGAUUUGAACAAAAUUUUAUUCAAUCAGAAGACCAAAAACUUGAUUGGGGAGAUAUGUUUGGGAUGGUAACUCUUCCCAAACAAAUGAGGAAUCCUAGGCUACUUCCCAACCUGCCUCUACCUCUCAGGGAAACAAUUGAAGCAUACUCAUUUGAGUUGAGUAAACUGAACAUGACUCUUACUGACUUGAUGGAAAAGGCUCUAAAAAUGGAGACUAGGGCCAUGGCAGAGUUGUUUGAUGGCGGAGGACAAGGAAUGAGGAUGAAUUAUUAUCCUCCUUGCCCUCAACCAGAGAACCUCAUUGGCUUAACACCACAUUCAGAUGCUGGCGGCUUGACCAUCCUCCUUCAACUCAACGAAGUAGAUGGAUUACAAUUAGAAAAGACAAGAUAUGGCUUCCCAUUAAACCUCUACCUAAUGCCUUUGUAGUGAACGUUGGCGAUAUUUUGGAGAUGAUGAGUAAUGAGAUUUACCGUAGCGUGGAACACCGUGAAACAAUAAACUUAUCAAAGGAGAGUCUCUCAGUUGCAAAAUUUCAUAGACCUAAAGGAGAUACUUUAAUAGGUCUAAUAGUCAGCAUGAUCACACCAGAGACACCUGCAUUGUUUAGAACAAUUGGGUACGAGGAUUAUAUGAUGAAAUUUAUUUCUCGUAAACUCUACGGAAAAUCAUUACUCAACUCCAUGAGGAUAUAGUAGAAGAUGACGAAGACA